rnacentral:misc_RNA from 1 species
UCUCCGUUGGCGAACCAGCGGAGGGAUCAUUACAGAGUUGCAAAACUCCCAAACCAUUGUGAACGUUACCUAUCCCGUUGCUUCGGCGGGCGGCCCGGGCCCCGCGCCCGGCGCCCCCCGGCCCCCCGUGGGCGCCCGCCGGAGGUAAACCAAACCCUUGAAUUGCAUGGCCUCUCUGAGUCUGCUGUACUGAAUAAGUCAAAACUUUCAACAACGGAUCUCUUGGUUCUG